CUUUGGCACCAUAUAUACAAAGAAAAAAAAAAAAAGGGAACGAUAUAGAGAAGAUUAGCAUGGACCCUGAGCAAGCAUGACAUGCAAAUUUGUGAAGCAUUCCAUUUUUUU
rnacentral:snRNA from 1 species